rnacentral:rRNA from 1 species
GAUGAACGCUAGCGGGAGGCCUAACACAUGCAAGCCGAGCGGUAUUGUUUCUUCGGAAAUGAGAGAGCGGCGUACGGGUGCGUAACACGUGUGCAACCCGCCUUUAUCUGGGGGAUAGCCUUUCGAAAGGAAGAUUAAUACUCCAUAAUAUAUUGAACGGCAUCGUUUAAUAUUGAAAGCUCCGGCGGAUAGAGAUGGGCACGCGCAAGAUUAGUUAGUUGGUGAGGUAACGGCUCACCAAGGCGAUGAUCUUUAGGGGGCCUGAGAGGGUGAUCCCCCACACUGGUACUGAGACACGGACCAGACUCCUACGGGAGGCAGCAGUGAGGAAUAUUGGACAAUGGGUGCAAGCCUGAUCCAGCCAUCCCGCGUGAAGGACGACUGCCCUAUGGGUUGUAAACUUCUUUUGUAUAGGGAUAAACCUACCCUCGUGAGGGUAGCUGAAGGUACUAUACGAAUAAGCACCGGCUAACUCCGUGCCAGCAGCCGCCGUAAUAC